rnacentral:rRNA from 1 species
UACGGGGGGGGCAAGCGUUGUUCGGAAUUACUGGGCGUAAAGGGCGCGUAGGCGGUUCGCUAAGUUGGAUGUGAAAACUCUGGGCUCAACCCAGAGCCUGCAUCCAAAACUGGCGGGCUAGAGUUCUGGAGGGGGUAGCGGAAUUCCUGGUGUAGCGGUGAAAUGCGCAGAUAUCAGGAGGAACACCGGUGGCGAAGGCGGAUCUCUGGGCCUUACCUGACGCUCAGGCGCGAAAGUGUGGGGAGCGAACAGG